UACGGAGGUGGCAAGCGUUACUCGGAAUUAUUGGGUGUAAAGGGCAGGUAGGUGGUCUUGCAAGUGAGAGGUGAAAUCCCACGGUUCAAUCGUGGAACUGCCUUUCAAACUGCUUGACUUGAGAAUGUUAGGGGAGAAUGGAAUUCCCGGUGUAAGGGUGAAAUCUGUAGAUAUCGGGAAGAACACCAACAGCGAAGGCAAUUCUCUGGGACAUUUCUGACACUGAACUGCGAAAGCUAGGGGAGCAAACAGAAUUAGAUACUCUGGUAGUCCUAGCCGUAAACGAUGAAUACUAGGUGUUGGUCCUUUCGGGGAUCAGUGCCGAAGCUAACGCAUUAAGUAUUCCACCUGGGGACUACGAUCGCAAGGUUAAA
rnacentral:rRNA from 1 species